AUGAACUUAAGAUUCAUAAACAAAUAAAUUAUUAUUUUACUGGAAAUAGCUACAUGAAAU
rnacentral:tRNA from 1 species